CAGCAGCCGCGGGAAUACGGAGGGUGCAAGCGUUAAUCGGAAUUACUGGGCGUAAAGCGCACGCAGGCGGUCUGUCAAGUCGGAUGUGAAAUCCCUGAGCUUAACUUAGGAAUUGCAUUCGAUACUGGGAAGCUAGAGUAUGGGAGAGGAUGGUAGAAUUCCAGGUGUAGCGGUGAAAUGCGUAGAGAUCUGGAGGAAUACCGAUGGCGAAGGCAGCCAUCUGGCCUAAUACUGACGCUGAGGUACGAAAGCAUGGGGAGCAAACAGGAUUAGAUACCCCUGUAGUCCCUGUCUCUUAUAC
rnacentral:rRNA from 1 species